rnacentral:rRNA from 1 species
UACGGAGGGUGCUAGCGUUGUUCGGAAUCACUGGGCGUAAAGCGCGUGUAGGCGGUCCGUUAAGUCUGAUGUGAAAGCCCGGGGCUCACCCCCGGAAGUGCAUUGGAAACUGACGAACUCGAGUCCCGGAGAGGAGGGUGGAAUUCCUGGUGUAGCGGUGAAAUGCGUAGAUAUCAGGAGGAACACCGGUGGCGAAGGCGGCCCUCUGGACGGUGACUGACGCUGAGACGCGAAGGCGUGGGGAGCAAACAGG